CCGUGCUAGACGGGGAGAUAGCGGUGCCCUGAACCUGCAAACCGCUUUAGCAGGGUGGAAUUCCCGGCCCGAGGGUUUGGCUUGUGGGGCUGGCCGCGGUAAGGGGCGUUGAAGGCCGGGUCUCGCGCGACGGAGAGUUCUGAACCGUGUCAGGUCCUGACGGAAGCAGCACUAAGGAAUCACCUCCGGGUGCCGCGAGGGUGCCUGGUCCGAGCAACCUGCCGGGGUAUCGACCGGAAGCCACUAUUCGAAGGCGGGUGCACGG
rnacentral:SRP_RNA from 1 species